UAGCUCAGUCGGUAAAGAAUCUGCCUGCAACGCAGGAGACCCAGGUUCGAUUUCUGG
rnacentral:tRNA from 1 species